GACGAACGCUGGCGGCGUGCCUAAUACAUGCAAGUUGAGCGCUGAAGGUUGGUCCUUGUACCAACUGGAUGAGCAGCGAACGGGUGAGUAACGCGUGGGGAAUCUGCCUUUGAGCGGGGGACAACAUUUGGAAACGAAUGCUAAUACCGCAUAAAAACUUUAAACACAAGUUUUAAGUUUGAAAGAUGCAAUUGCAUCACUCAAAGAUGAUCCCGCGUUGUAUUAGCUAGUUGGUGAGGUAAAGGCUCACCAAGGCGAUGAUACAUAGUCGACCUGAGAGGGUGAUCGGCCACAUUGGGACUGAGACACGGCCCAAACUCCUACGGGAGGCAGCAGUAGGGAAUCUUCGGCAAUGGACGAAAGUCUGACCGAGCAACGCCGCGUGAGUGAAGAAGGUUUUCGGAUCGUAAAACUCUGUUGGUAGAGAAGAACGUUGGUGAGAGUGGAAAGCUCAUCAAGUGACGGUAACUACCCAGAAAGGGACGGCUAACUACGU
rnacentral:rRNA from 1 species